rnacentral:rRNA from 1 species
GCCAGAGCCAUAUCUCCCAGGGUUGAGUCUGGCCAGUACCUGGAUGGGAAACCUCCUGGGGAAAACUAAGGUUGCCGCUGGAA